GGCUGGUCCGAAGGUAGUGAGUUAUCUCAAUUGAUUAUUCAUAGUCAGUUACAGAUCGAACUCCUCAUUCUACUCUUCCCCCCUUCUCACUACUGCACUUGACUAGUCUUAAAAAAAA
rnacentral:Y_RNA from 1 species